rnacentral:rRNA from 5 species
AAAACUUUCAACAACGGAUCUCUUGGUUCUCGCAUCGAUGAAGAACGCAGCGAAAUGCGAUACGUAAUACGAAUUGCAGCUCUCGGAAUCAUCGAAUCUUUGAACGCACAUUGC